rnacentral:rRNA from 1 species
CUUACGGGAGGCAGCAGUGGGGAAUAUUGGACAAUGGGCGAAAGCCUGAUCCAGCCAUGCCGCGUGUGUGAAGAAGGCCCUCGGGUUGUAAAGCACUUUCAGCGAGGAAGAACGCCUAGCGGUUAAUACCCGCUAGGAGAGACAUCACUCGCAGAAGAAGCACCGGCUAACUCCGUGCCAGCAGCCGCGGUAAUACGGAGGGUGCAAGCGUUAAUCGGAAUUACUGGGCGUAAAGCGCGCGUAGGUGGCUUGAUAAGCCGGCUGUGAAAGCCCCGGGCUCAACCUGGGAACGGCAUCCGGAACUGUCAAGCUAGAGUGCAGGAGAGGAAGGUAGAAUUCCCGGUGUAGCGGUGAAAUGCGUAGAGAUCGGGAGGAAUACCAGUGGCGAAGGCGGCCUUCUGGACUGACACUGACACUGAGGUGCGAAAGCGUGGGUAGCAAACAGGAUUAGAUACCCUGAUUGUCCACGCCGUAAACGAUGUCGACCAGCCGUUGGGUGCCUAGCGCACUUUGUGGCGAAGUUAACGCUAUAAGUCGACCGCCUGGGGAGUACGGCCGCAAGGUUAAAACUCAAAUGAAUUGACGGA